rnacentral:rRNA from 1 species
GACGAACGCUGGCGGCGUGCUUAACACAUGCAAGUCGAGCGGUAAGGCCCUUUCGGGGUACACGGAGCGGCGAACGGUGAGUAACACGUGGGUGACCUGCCCUUAGCUCUGGGAUAAGCCUGGGAACUGGGGUCUAAUACCGGGAUAUGACUCCAUGACGCAGUGUUGGUGGGGUGGAAAGGCCUUGUGCGGCUAGGGAUGGGCCCGCGGCCUAUCAGCUUGUUGGUGGGGUGAUGGCCACCAAGGCGACGACGGGUAGCCGGCCUGAGAAGGCGACCGGCCACACUGGGACUGAGA